rfam:Oryza barthii chromosome 4, whole genome shotgun sequence.
AAAAAGUAAACCUUUAGUUUACGUGUCCAACGUUUGACCGUUUGUUUUAUUUGAAAAAAUAUGAAAAAAAAUUUUGAAAAGGUAAGUCACGCAUAAAGUAUUAAUCAUGUUUUAUCAUCUAACAACAAUGAAAAUACUAAUCAUAAAAAAAUUUCAUAUAAGACGAACGGUCAAACGUUGGACACGCAAAGAUAAGGUUCGCCUUUUU